rnacentral:rRNA from 1 species
AUUGAACGCUGGCGGCAGGCCUAACACAUGCAAGUCGAACGGCAGCACGGGGCAUCUUACUGCGUUGCUGAUGGGUGGCGGGUGGGUGAGACAUGUGUAGAAGACUUCUUGUUGGGGGGAGAUAAGUGCUGGACGCGGUAAUUCAUCACGCGUACCGCCGCUAGAACCAGGAGAGGGUCCUUAGUGCCUCUUGACGUCUGGUGUGUCCAGGAGUGAUUAGCUAGUGGGUGGGGUAACGGCCCACCUAGGCGACGAUCCCUAGCUGGUCUGAGAGGACGACCAGCCACACUGGAACUGAGACACGGUCCAGACUCCUACGGGAGGCAGCAGUGGGGAAUAUUGGACAAUGGGCGCAAGCCUGAUGCAGCCAUGCCGCGUGUGUGAAGAAGGCCUUCGGGUUGUAAAGUACUUUCGGCGGGGAAGAAAGGAUUAAAGCUAAUACCGUCGCGGAUUGACGGUACCCGAAGAAGAAGCACCGGCUAACUACGUG